rnacentral:rRNA from 1 species
UGGUAAUUGACGGGGACCCUGCACAAGCUGGUGGAGCAUGUGGUUUAAUUCGAAGCAACGCGAAGAACACUUACCAUAAUCUUGACUAUCCUUUGACCGCUCUAGAGAUAGAGUCUUCCCCUUCGGGGGACAAAGUGACGAGGUGGUGCAUGGUUGUCGUCAGCUCGUNUCGUGUAGAUGUUGGGNUUAAGUCCCNGCAACGAGCGCAACCCUUAAGCUUAGUUGCCAUCAUUACAGUUGGUGCACUCUAAGCUUGACUGCCGGUUACAAACCGGCAGGAAGGUGGUGGAUGACGUCAUAAUCAUCAUGCCCUCUUAUGAUUUGUGGCUACACACCGUGCUACAAUGGCACCAAUACACAACGGGCAGCUAACACCGCGAGGUCAAGCAAAUCCCAUAAAGUUGUUCUCCAGCNUCGGAUUGCUAGUCUGCAACUCGACUACAUGAUAGCUGACAUCGCUAGUACAUCGUAGAUCGAGNAAUCCCCGUGGUUANUUNAAU